UGGGUUGUGGCUUAGUGGUAGAGUGCUUGUCUAGCUCAUGAGGCACUGGGUUUGAUCCCCAGCACCACAU
rfam:Ictidomys tridecemlineatus contig050357, whole genome shotgun sequence.